rnacentral:rRNA from 1 species
UACGAAGGGGGCUAGCGUUGUUCGGAAUCACUGGGCGUAAAGCGUACGUAGGCGGAUCGUUAAGUCAGGGGUGAAAGCCUGGAGCUCAACUCCAGAACUGCCUUUGAUACUGGCGAUCUUGAGACCGGGAGAGGUGAGUGGAACUGCUAGUGUAGAGGUGAAAUUCGUAGAUAUUAGCAAGAACACCGGUGGCGAAGGCGGGUCUCUGGGCCGAUACUGACGCUGAGGAGCGAAAGCGUGGGGAGCGAACAAG